CUGCCGAGAAAAGCCUCUAGAUAGAAAAUAGGUGCCCGUACCGCAAACCGACACAGGUAGUCAAGAUGAGAAUUCUAAGGUGAGCGAGCGAACUCUCGUUAAGGAACUCGGCAAAAUGACCCCGUAACUUCGGGAGAAGGGGUGCUCUUUAGGGUUAACGCCCAGAAGAGCCGCAGUGAAUAGGCCCAAGCGACUGUUUAUCAAAAACACAGGUCUCUGCUAAACCGUAAGGUGAUGUAUAGGGGCUGACGCCUGCCCGGUGCUGGAAGGUUAAGAGGAGUGGUUAGCUUCUGCGAAGCUACGAAUCGAAGCCCCAGUAAACGGCGGCCGUAACUAUAACGGUCCUAAGGUAGCGAAAUUCCUUGUCGGGUAAGUUCCGACCCGCACGAAAGGCGUAACGAUUUGGGCACUGUCUCAACGAGAGACUCGGUGAAAUCAUAGUACCUGUGAAGAUGCAGGUUACCCGCGACAGGACGGAAAGACCCCGUGGAGCUUUACUGUAGCCUGAUAUUGAAAUUCGGCACAGCUUGUACAGGAUAGGUAGGAGCCUUUGAAACGUGAGCGCUAGCUUACGUGGAGGCGCUGGUGGGAUACUACCCUAGCUGUGUUGGCUUUCUAACCCGCACCACUUAUCGUGGUGGGAGACAGUGUCAGGCGGGCAGUUUGACUGGGGCGGUCGCCUCCUAAAAGGUAACGGAGGCGCUCAAAGGUUCCCUCAGAAUGGUUGGAAAUCAUUCAUAGAGUGUAAAGGCAUAAGGGAGCUUGACUGCGAGACCUACAAGUCGAG
rnacentral:rRNA from 1 species